UGCAAGUGUGCGAGCUAGCUAGUUCGCGAGGGCGGAGUGGAAGUGGGCGUCUGCUGCUUUGGGGGAAUAGGAAAGCUGUGGCUCCCUCUGGGAUCCAGGGGUCGUAGUGAGAAGCGGUUCCGAAGGUUAGCCCAAGCCCCCUUUUCUGUCGCGCCUCUCCACCCGGAGCAUCCUUGGGCUGCCGGCCCUGGCACUCGAAGGCUAGUUUUGUUUGGCCCCAGAGGUCCCUCCCAUUCCGCCCGCCCCCGCCUUCAGUGCCUCAGUUCCCGAAGCCACGACUUCCCGCAGCUGGAACUGCAGGACAGGGAGGACCCCAGCAGUCGACGGCGUCCAAGAGUCUGACGACAUCUGCCUUUGCCCUCCUGGGCUGGCGCCCCGCACGUCGUGCUUCUCGAUAGCAAAGUUUCUCUGUGGAAAAGAAGCCUCUUUAGCUUUCUUCGGAUCCUGCAACGCGCGCGCGGACGCGCUCGGCUUCUCUCCACCUGAGACUGCGCUCCCGACGUAGGUGGUGCCUUUGCUCCAGCCCCCUGCUCCAGCCGCUACCACCCCACUUCGGCCUCCCUCCCUCGGCACUCCCCUGCCCCGGCCCGCGGCCUUGGGGGGCGGAGCUUGGGAAAUCUGUGGAGCCUGCUGGAGAGCCUUCGACUCCGCGCGGGUCCUGAGAGAGCAGUGGUGAGCGGGCGAGCUGAUAGGCACAGCCUAAGGAUAGCUUAGGGUGCCUAAGCACUGAAAUGAGCCCCCGAAGGGACUUUCAGGCUGCACCCCCUCUUCUGCCCUGGUUCAGUUCUCGGCAGGUUUGAGAGGGCGUACUGGUGGUCAAAACUCCUCGAGAGGUGCUGCUGAGUGUUCGUGCCCCGACAGAGUGGCUACCCCGACUCCCUGCGGGGCUGCGAAAGGAGAAGGAGCCAAGGAGACAGCUGUCCCCAAGUUUUUCACGUGCCUGGAACUGGACUCCGGACUGGGCGCUAAAAUGCUUGCUUUCGUCCUGUCCAGGUUUCAUAGCAUGUCUGUUGACAAUUGGAAGCCCGGGCCAAUGAAGAGUCAAGUUCGAAGUGGUACUCCUGGGUUCUCCCUCCCAUACUCCAACAAGUGUAACAUGAAACUAGAGAGAGGGUUCUUCUGGUCUAACUAGCAGAUCUCCAUUCUGGAAUUGUCCUUGACUGCUCUCUUAGAUACUUGGACUGCAGUGGCUCCAGGGUUCUCUUGAGCGGGGGUGGGGUUUGCUCUGAAGACCAGACUACAACACUCAGAACCUCGACAAUGGACCGAGUUUAUGAAAUUCCUGAGGAGUCCAACGUGGAUCCAAUUUCAUCUCUGGAGGAAGAUGUCAUCCGUGGGGCCAACCCGCGAUUUACCUUCCCAUUUGGCAUCCUCUUCUCCACCUUUUUGUACUGUGGGGAGGCUGCAUCUACCUUGUACAUGGUUAGAAUCUAUCGAAAGAAUAGCGAAACAUACUGGAUGGCAUACACUUUAUCCUUCUUUAUGUUUUCAUCCAUUAUGGUCCAGUUGACCCUCAUCUUUGUUCACAGAGAUCUGGCCAAAGACAAGCCGCUAUCAUUAUUUAUGCAUCUAAUCCUCUUGGGACCUGUUAUCAGAUGUUUGGAGGCCAUGAUUAAGUACCUCACACUGUGGAAGAAAGAGGGGCAGGAGGAGCCCUAUGUCAGCCUCACCCGAAAGAAGAUGCUAAUAAAUGGCGAGGAAGUGCUGAUAGAAUGGGAGGUGGGCCACUCCAUCCGGACCCUGGCUAUGCACCGCAAUGCCUACAAACGUAUGUCACAGAUCCAAGCCUUCCUGGGCUCAGUGCCCCAGCUGACCUAUCAGCUCUAUGUGACCCUGAUCUCUGCAGAGGUCCCCCUGGGUAGAGUUGUGCUAAUGGUUUUUUCCCUGAUCUCUGUCACCUAUGGGGCUACCCUCUGCAAUAUGUUGGCUAUCCAGAUCAAGUAUGAUGAAUACAAGAUUCGCCUCGGGCCAUUAGAAGUCCUCUGCAUCACCAUUUGGCGGACAUUGGAGAUCACUUCCCGCCUCGUGAUUCUGGUGCUCUUCUCAGCUACCUUGAAACUGAAAGCUGUGCCAUUCUUACUGCUUAACUUCCUGAUCAUCCUCUUUGAGCCCUGGGUUAAGUUCUGGAGGAGUGGUGCCCAGAUGCCCAAUAAUAUUGAGAAAAAUUUCAGCCGGGUUGGCACCCUGGUGGUGCUGAUCUCCAUCACCGUUCUCUAUGCGGGCAUCAACUUCUCUUGCUGGUCAGCUUUGCAGCUGAAAUUGGCAGACAGGGACCUUGUUGACAAAGGCCAGAACUGGGGGCAUAUGGGCCUACACUAUAGUGUGAGGUUCGUAGAGAACGUGGUCAUGGUUUUGGUUUUUAACUUCUUUGGAGUGAAAGUGUUGCUGGAUUACUGUCAUUCCUUGAUUGCUUUGCAGCUCAUCAUUGCUUAUCUGAUUUCCAUUGGCUUCAUGCUCCUUUUCUUCCAAUACUUGCACCCAUUGCGCUCACUCUUUACCCACAACGUAGUGGACUACCUCCAUUGUGUCUGCUGCCGUCGGCACCUUCGGGGCAGGAUUGAGAACUCAGAGCUACCCUGUGAUGCCCAAGCAAGGCAAAGCAUUGUCUGAGAUUCUAUCUUCUGGGUCCUUCGGGGCAGGAUUGAGAACUCAGAGCUACCCUGUGAUGCCCAAGCAAGGCAAAGCAUUGUCUGAGAUUCUAUCUUCUGGGUCCUUCGGGAUAGGCUGGGAGUGGCCAAGAGCAACUUUGCAAUUGAAGGAGAGGAUGAGGCUCAUAGUUUCAGGAUUUUGUCUCCUGUGUGUUCUUGAACACACAGCUUCCAGACCCUAUUCAUGGGAAUAAAACUGGAGGGAGCAAUUACUACCCAGGUUUGUAUGAAUCUCCCCCCCCCAACCCCCCAAACAACCAAUCACAGCAGGGGAGUGCUGAAGCUGACUCUCUUAUACUUCCUCUUAGCAACACUGCCCUUACUCCUCUUGAGAAGCUGACUCCUGAUUCUAAAGCAGGCCACAGGAUAAGGAUGUGGAAGAAUAAUGACCUUCCCCCAACUGUCACAGUCCUGAGAGCCUAAGUCAACACUCAGUGCUCUUUCAGCGAGCCUGCUCCUGCCUGCACCUCUCUAGGUCAUGGUCCUCAGCAUUCAGAGUUGAUUGCUACUUCCAGGGUAAGGGUGGUGUGAGCAGCUGAAGGGUAGAACAUUCACCGGGACAUUCCAUCUAAACCUGGGGAGUUCCAGGGUGCCUGGCUGGCUCAGUCUGUGGAGCCUGCAGUUCUUGAUCUUGGGGAUGUGAAUUCGAGCCCCUUGUUGGGUGUAGAGAUUACUUAAAAAGAAAAUGUUAAACAAACAAAACCCACACCCCUGUGGAGUUCCAUUUCUGAAAAGUCCUUUAGUAUAAAAGCAAAGGACUCUGGACCCUCCGAAAUAUUUAUCUACCCAAGAGUGGGGAUCCUCAUUCUAUGAAACUUUUGCUAUUGGGCUUCAUUACUAUCUUCAGGGGACACACAUGUGCAGAAUCUUAUGCCUUUCCUCUUGAAGGACCAACACCAUUAGUCAUAUACACUUUAGGUCUUAGAGCCUCUGGGGUGCAAAGUGAAAGUAUGAUAUGAGCCUUGGCAACAAAGCACACACCAUGUGAAACCGGGAAGUAGCAAGGCCAACCUGUGUGAGCUAUGGGAACUAAGUGUGAAAACGAUAUACUUUCAUGUAUAGAGAAAAUAACAUCUGAAUAGCACUGUACUAUAUGCGAAGAGCAUCGAUACAUACUAGCUCUGUUACCAUUGUAUCAUUGUUGGGACAAGCCCUCUGAGCUGUACAUAUGAAUUUGCAAUGUUCUAACCUUUAAUUUAUUAAACAAUUAUUAAACUCAUUUUGUGCCAGGGAAACCUACAUGGAUAUUUCAGAGUGCUUUAUAGAUGCUGAAAGACUCAAAAGAAAAUCCCAAAUAUUGAGUUUCAGUGAUAUUGGAGAUAAAUAGCCACUGGUUGUCAUCACUGGUAUGAGAGCAAAAUAUUGGCGCAAGUUUUUGGAAGGCAUUGUCAGUAUUUGUCAAAAUUAAAUGGACAUACUUUUUGUCUCAGAAUUUUAACCUCUAGGAAUUUUUCCUAUGGCAACAUAGAUACACUUAUGCAAAAGAUGUGCACAGGAAUGUUUAUUAUAGCACAGUUUGUAACAGUGAAAAGUUGUUAACAACUUAAAUUUCCACCUAUAAGGAAAUGAUUAAAUUCUGGUAUUUCUAACAUUGGAAUACUGUCCAUCCAUUAAAAAGAUAUAUGUACCCCUAUGUUUAUUAUAGCAUUAUUUACA